GGUAUCGAAAUAAGAUUUUAAAUGAGUGCUAAGAGAAUGAUUUAACAAUUAAAGGCUUUCUUUAAUUUAAUAAUUGAAUUUAAUUUUUUUAGUGCAAAAGCAAAAAUUAUAAUUAGGGACAAGAAGACCCUAUGAAUUUUUAUUUUUUAAUAACAAUAAUUUCGUUAUUAAAAAAUUUAAUUGGGGUGAUGGAAAAAGAAUAAAUAUCUUUUUGGUAUAUAAAAAUUUAGUUCCGUUUUUUAACGAUUUUAUGAAAAAAAUACUCUAGGGAUAACAGCGUAAUAAUUUUGGAUAGUUCAUAUAGAUAAAAUAGUUUGCGACCUCGAUGUUGGAUUAGGAUUC
rnacentral:rRNA from 1 species